rnacentral:rRNA from 1 species
UACGAAGGGUGCAAGCGUUACUCGGAAUUACUGGGCGUAAAGCGUGCGUAGGUGGUUUGUUAAGUCUGUUGUGAAAGCCCCGGGCUCAACCUGGGAAUGGCAAUGGAUACUGGCAGGCUAGAGUGCGGUAGAGGGUAGUGGAAUUCCCGGUGUAGCGGUGAAAUGCGUAGAGAUCGGGAGGAACACCAGUGGCGAAGGCGGCUAUCUGGCCCAAUACUGACACUGAGGUGCGAAAGCGUGGGGAUCAAACAGG